UAAAGGCACCUCCUUGCAAAAGAGCAAGUACAAAGGCUGGUGUGACACAAUUGCUUUUUUCACAUCUCUUUUUUUUGCAAUUAAACUUUGUUUCUUUUCUCUUUUAUCAUUCUUUUUCUUUUCAUUCCUUUCUUUUUCUUUUUCUUUUUCUUUUCUUUCUUGAUCAUAUUUUUCUCUCAUUUUUCUUUGAUCUUCUCUCACCUCACUAGGAUUUAAC
rnacentral:lncRNA from 1 species